ACUGCUCAGUAACACGUGGAUAACCUGCCCAAGGGUCCGGGAUAACCCCGGGAAACUGGGGAUAAUACCGGAUGGAUCACUAGUGCUGGAAUGCUUGGUGGUCGAAAGGUAACGCCUUUGGAUGGGUCUGCGGCGGAUUAGGUUGACGCCGGUGUAACGUACCGGCGUGCCUGUAAUCCGUACGGGUUGUGGGAGCAAGAGCCCGGAGAUGGAUUCUGAGACACGAAUCCAGGCCCUACGGGGCGCAGCAGGCGCGAAAACUCUACAAUGCAGGCAACUGCGAUAGGGGGACAUCGAGUGGCAUCCACCUUGGGUGCCUGUCCAACCGUCUAAAAAACGGUUGUUAGCAAGGGCCGGGUAAGACCGGUGCCAGCCGCCGCGGUAAUACCGGCGGCUCGAGUGGUGGCCGAUAUUAUUGAGUCUAAAGGGUCCGUAGCCGGCUUUGCAAGUCCCCUGGGAAAUCCAGCGGCUUAACCGUUGGGCUUUCAUGGGAUACUACAUUGCUUGGGACUGGGAGAGGUAGGAGGUACUCGGGGGGUAGGGGUGAAAUCCUGUAAUCCUCCGGGGACCACCGGUGGCGAAGGCGUCCUACCAGAACAGGUCCGACGGUGAGGGACGAAAGCUAGGGGCACGAACCGGAUUAGAUACCCGGGUAGUCCUAGCCGUAAACGAUGCCCGCUAGGUGUCACGACGGUCGUGAAUCGUCGUGGUGCCGUAGGGAAGCCGCGAAGCGGGCCACUUGGGAAGUACGGCCGCAAGGCUGAAACUUAAAGGAAUUGGCGGGGGAG
rnacentral:rRNA from 1 species